CCUCAUGGCCUUUAUGCUUAGGGCUACACACGUGCUACGAAUGGGUGGGUACAAAGAGAAGCCAACUCGCGAGAGCGCGCCAAUCUCAAAAAGCCAUCCUCCAGUUCGGAUUGGAGUCUGCAACUCGACUCCAUGAAGUUGGAAUCGCUAGUAAUCGCGGAUCAGCAUGCCGCGGUGAAUACGUUCCCGGGCCUU
rnacentral:rRNA from 1 species